rnacentral:rRNA from 1 species
UACAGAGGUCUCAAGCGUUGUUCGGAUUCAUUGGGCGUAAAGGGUGCGUAGGCGGCGCGGUAAGUCGGGUGUGAAAUCUUGGAGCUUAACUCCGAAACUGCAUUCGAUACUGCCGUGCUUGAGGACUGGAGAGGAGACUGGAAUUUACGGUGUAGCGGUGAAAUGCGUAGAUAUCGUAAGGAAGACCAGUGGCGAAGGCGGUUCUCUGGGCCUUACCUGACGCUGAGGAGCGAAAGCGUGGGGAGCGAACAGG